CACGGUGGCCUCGGGCAGCUCGUCGUCCUCCGUCCACUCGUUGAGCUCCGGGCUGAAGCACUGGAUGCACUUCUUGUACUUCUUCUCGCCCUCGUUCCAGCCCCCCAGCAGGGUCUCUGUACAGGAUGUCUCUACUAAGGGACUUCUCCGUAAGGCCUGGACGUCCCCCAACAGUGACGAGGACUCGACAGCCCCCGCGGAUUCUUGUGCGCCUAGACUGCAAUGUGUUUUGACGAUAUGGAAGCAUUUUAUCAUCUCCCAUCCCCGCAAGAAGAAGUUCUGUUCUGAGCACGGAACAAUAGGAUAUUUUGAGAGAGAGAGAGAGACCACGUUCACAUAACUUUGAUAUAGCCACAGGUCUGGAGCGGGGUUCCAGAGGCUUCCCUGAAGGACUCUGUGGACAGGGUGUAAUUCUGAGGUGUCUGGAGAAAAGAGAGAAUCUGGCCUUGACAACAUAGCGAUAUGAUGAGGCCAAGGAGGCAAAGGGUCAGCAGGGAAUUCCAAAGGAAUCCAAAGGGCAGCAACAACUCCAACAGAAAGUAUCGCUGCAUUGAAGAAGCAGAGGGUUUGUGGCAACCACAUCCCCUGGAAAGUGAGCUGGGAAUUCUGGGCAAGAGAGAUCCCAAAGGGGAAUGAAGGAAUGAAGAACAUGAGAAAUAAUAAAUAUCUGGAUGCAUAUAAAAGACUCUGAACUUCUUUAAAAUUCAUAUAACUCUUCAAAGCAAAACUGGUAACAUCUUCUCAUGGAGAUUCUAACAUUUCUGGAUGUAGCACAUAUGAUUAUUACAGCAUAAAGGACGGAGUGAUGGGGGAGUUUCUAUGUUGCCAAUAUGGAUAUUUCUGGGACUUCAAGGAGUUCUCUGACUUUUGUGUUACCGAUUGAAUUAAACUGAUUGUAUUUCAUCUAAACCUAUCAGGCAUUGCUUUGCGUGUUGGCACACUAGGAAAUUAUUCUGCGCCCUGAAGGAGUGGCGGGAACGAAGAGAACUUCGGAAGCUGUGACUGUUGGGACAAUCUGAAGAAAAUACCGAGAGAGGACUUACGAUGGAUGAAACACCUGUGCAAGUGUAUUGGGGGUUGUUGGGCAACAAGUGGAUUUAGCGAACAUUCUUAUACCCUAUUGUGGCCAAAAUUGGGCCCGAUGGGCAGAUAUUCCUGGGAAAUAUUAAAAGUAAGGAAAGAAAACUCUGAUAGCAACUGGCUCUUAAUGAUUAAAAUGGGUCCUAAUGAUGAAAAGGAGCCAGUUCCUUAUGAGUGGAAGUGGGGAGGUAAAAGGUGAUGUAGGGACUCUCACUCCAGCUGGGCACUGGGCUUAGCUCAUCCUUGAUAUAAUUCCAACUCUAAGACUCUGUGAUGCCAUAUGUAUUGGCUUCCAGACUUCCCAAACCUCUCAGCUCACUAGUUGGCAUCUUAGUUACCACUUAGUCUUAAAUUCCAUUCAGCUUUUUAGCAGGGAAAACUCUUUUGAUUUUUUUUAAAAAAAUUCUUUGUUUUCACACAUAGCCAUCCAGCUUCAAAUGUGUCAGAAGUAUAUCAAAGAACUUUAUUGUACGGUUUACAAAGCUAACAGAGGAUCAUUCCCAGGUGAUCCUUCAUGUUUCCCCCUCCUUGAUUCCAGUUAAGGGCCAAGGCAUUCAACUCUCUUCUUAGUAAUAUGAUAAAAAUCAGCUUUAGAUAAGUAUUUAUGAUAAUGAUUAGAUGAUUAUGGAAAGGUCCUUUAAGAAGUAAGCAGAAAAUUACUUGGGAACUUUAUUAAA